CCGGCGGCUUCAGGUAUUUUUUUUUCUUUUCCUAGUACGAUAAUUGUUUAGAUAAUGUAGUUAGUUUUCUAAGUUGUAUAAUUUUUGAAAUAAUUCAUGUAGUAAUUUUCUAUAUUGGUAUUAUUUAUAUGAAUAUUGUUAUGUAAUUUAGAGUUGUUUAUUUAAUUUAGAGUAGUUUAUUUAAUAUUUCUAGCAUUUAGUUAUGUAAUUUAGUUAGAUAAAUCUAGUUUGUAAUUUUAGUUAUAUAGUUAGGUACAUACGUAUUUUCUUAGAUAGAUAUUUAUGUGUUUUAUUUGUAUUAGUUAUAUGCCUAGUAACAUGGUUGUUUUGUAUAUCAAUUAGAUGGACAAUUUAGUAACCUUAUAUCAUGGAGGAAGUGUGGAGAAAGAUCAGUUUGGCAAUGUUGAUUUUGUUGGAAUGGAAACGGUCCCUUUGAUGUUUGAUGAGCGGCCCUUGUUUUCUGAAUUGAUGGGUAGUGCUCGUGAUGAGCUUAAAUGUAAUUCGAAUGAAGAAGAAAUCUUAGUUGAGGGGGUCAUUCACCAUGGCGGGUCAGGGACAAUUUUUAGGCGGUUAGUCCCAAUUGUAUCCGAGGUUCAAUGGGACAAAUAUGUCAAAACUGUCAUGAAGAGUGAGUUUAAAUGUUUGGAUUUGGUUGUGCGCAACUUGUCCAAGGAGCCAGGCCCUCUAGUGGAUUCUCCUCUUAAUUGGCAACCACCCAUUGGCCCUCUAGUGGACAAUCCGGCACCCUCAGCUUCUCUGAUACCCAUUCAGGACGUGGGUGUGGAAGAUGUGGUUGUCGUUCCUGAUGCUCAAUCCGGUCCCAAUGAGGUUGGCUGCGUACAUACCCCUAUGACCUAGACAAUUCCAUGUAAGUGGCGUAGUUGCAUUAUUCAUUUUGUUAGCAUUCCUUCGUUCGAUUUAGUUGUCUCAAUUGUAUCCAUAUUUGUGGUUUUGUUGUAGGUGACAAUCCAAGUAAUGAUCGUUGUCAUCCUGUGCCUCCAACAUUUAAUGUUGACGCAGCUUUUAUAGCAUCUAAUAGUUUGGAUGUUAAUAUUGAGGAUGAUGAGCCCUAUGUCACAGCUAGAGCUGUUGAUUCCGAUGAUGACCGGCCAGUUGCACCUUUAAGUGAACAAGAAAUGGAGCUUAUCAGACGUUUUUGUCCUGAUCGUGAUCCACUAGUUCACGAGUUUAGUGACCUCAGUCAUUCUCAAAAUGCUUAUGCAGAGGGAAGAGAUGAUGAGCUGCUGGAGGCUCCUGAGCCUGGUGACAGUGUGCAAAUUCAGAAGGGCAUGAUCUUUAAUGAUUUGCCCAGCUUAAGAAGGUGGUUACAACAAUAUUCUGUAAUACGUAAAAGACCCUUCAAGGUGAUGCACUCCCAUGUUGAGCGCCGCUACACGGUUGUGUGUGAGAUGUCAGAUUGCAACUGGAGGGUCUGUGCUCGUAAACAAAAGGCCACCGGGAAGUUUAAGAUCACAAAAAUUGUAGGUCCACACACUUGUGCCCAGACUGACCUUCAACAGAAGCAUCGACAGUUGACCUCUACACUUAUUGCUAGUACGUUAUGCACAACUUUAAAGGGUCAGCCCAACUUGAAGGUCAGAACAAUUAUGGACAUGGCUCAGAAGAUAUUUAAAUAUGACAUAAAGUAUGGCAAAGCAUGGAGGGCAAAGCAAAGGGCCUGGAAGAUGAUAUAUGGAGACUGGGAGGAGGGGUACGAGCAACUGCCAGCAAUGUUCAAUGCAAUGAAAGCAGCUAAUCCAGGCAUGCAUUACGAGUACAUUCCGAAGCCUAAUGAAUGGAGGAAUGGGAGGCAGAUAUUCUUUCGUGCAUUCUGGUGUUUUCCACAGUGUGUCCAGGCCUUUAGGCACUGCCGUCCAGUGUUAUCAAUUGAUGGUACUUUUCUGCUUGGCAAGUAUAUGGGCACUCUUUUGGUAGCCAUUUUCUGUGACGCUGACAACGCAUUGGUUCCUUUGGCUUUUGCUUUGGUGGAGAGAGAGAACAAAGACAGCUGGGGUUGGUUCAUCCAUCGCUGCCUUCGCUCGGCGCACACGCUCAAGCUUCUUUUCCCUCUCCUCCCGAGCCGCAGCAACACGUCUUCUUUCCUCCUCUUCCUUGUGCUCCCUCUUUUGAGCCUCCUCUCUACGUCUCUUCUCUAAUAUCUCUGCACGCUCUGCAUCCCACUCCUUUAGGCCUUGUAGAAGCCGCUUGUCGGACUCCUUAAUCUCAGUGUCAAUCCACUGCUCAAAAUCACACAAUGGUGGAGGGGUCUGCAACAAAUAUAUUUGUUCAAAAAAUUAAAUCAUGCUUCAUAGGACACAAAAUACUAAGUGCACAAUAGAAAAAUUAACUUACAAUAAAGUUACUGCGGCGUUGUUUUGGCAUAGGCUCCCAGGCAAAAUUGGAACACAUCCAAUACCUCUGCCGAUAGGUUUCCUCGUCUUCCGAAAUUUCUACCUUGCAAGGAUCACCACAAAAGCACAUAGGUACUGGAACACCGCUAGGAAGCGGCUUGUGAAUGUACGGACUCCCGGUCGUCCGGCCAUAGCUACAGUUCAAAUAAUUCAAUUCUAAGAAAUCAUAGCAAAUAAUGAUUCAACCGAAAACUAGAAUUUACAAAAAGAUAAAUAAUAAUGAGAGGAAUUUAUCGAAACAUGUCGAAAGGUUACCUUGGUUUGCUACUUUUUACACGACGUGGCAUUCUACGAUUGUAUAAUAAAAAUAUUAAUCAUCCAUUCAAAAAUAUAGAAAUGGUAUAUCUAAGUUUACAACAUACGUGUAAUAUAAGUCCAAUCAAUGUGUCAAAAACUAAUAUGUGAAAGAGUAUACCUGGCUCUUCAAGAUCUAUGGAACAAAUCAAACUUUUGAUGGUCACAAUAUUGAAUCCAAAUUCGUGCUCGGUUUUUGGAGAGAAAGAGCCAAGAGGGGAGAUGAAAAUACGAACACUGCGUCCACGGUUUCGAAGGUCGUCGGGUGGUAUGUAGUAGGGAGCUCGGCGCCGUGAUCUGUGGCGCCGAGCUCCCUGCCACGUCAGAUCCACGUCAGAAGCCCGGGCCAGGACCUAGACGUGAUACCUCGACGCCAUGAAUCAUGGCGUCGACCCCCUGGGUUCAUUUCUGCAUUUAAGUUUUCCAGGGGUCCAAUUGUAAACUUUUUUCAAAAAAAGGGUCAAAUUGUAAAAAAUUGGGGCAGAGCUGCAGAGGCUAUAGUGAAGUUCUAUUUUUAAUGUGUAAACUACAAAGCAGCUAAUGUCAUGUUUGGAUCUCCUAAGAAAAAUAAGAAUAAGAUGAAAAAAUAGAAUGACAUACAAACACUCCGAUUCUAAAGUCCGAGUGUUAAAACUACAUUAGCUGACAUUAGCUGACGUGUUAAAACUGCUCCGAGCAAACGCCAAGUGCAAUCAAACCAGGAGGAAUUAUUGUGAUUGUGGGGUUGUGGUUGUUCUCGUUUUGAUAGUUAGAAAGUCUCCGUUAUCUCAUUCUAUAUUAGGGAUGGAAAUCGAAUGAACAUGAUCGUCGAAGAUUAAAAAAAAAUGGACUUUACCCAUAUAGGUUUGACGUUUGAUCAUGGACUCACGAAUUGGUAGUCUAAUAUUGUGAAUAAUGUGCAUAGUUGUAAUUCUAGAUAUUAAUAAAAUGUUAUUAAAAUGACGCUUAAAAUAAAAUGUUAUUGAAAUAAUUUUGAUAGUAACAAUAAAGCUGUGUCUACUAAAAAUGAGCGGAAGCGUACUUAGUUACUUAAAGCAUAGACCGUCAUUGCGUGAAUAUUCAGCUUAGGAUGGAGUCUCUGACACUAAUUUCGGUUCGUUUCUAGGUAUAGGCUCGUAGACUACAGAAUUGUAUCUGAUCCAUACAAAUGGAAAAGUUCUCACCCUUUUAUUCAGCCGUGUGAUAUGAUACAUUGUACAUGUGACCAACAAUGAAAUCCGAAGGACUAGCAACAACAACACAAAGUACAAUAAAUCGCAUAAAUAUGAUGAAAGAUCUGCUAACAGCAAGUAUAUGUGUAUGCACAGACAGGCUCAUCCUGCAUAUGUCUAAUUAUCACACGUGGCUCUUGAUGGCGUCACUGUAGCCUGCGCGGUCGUCGUAGUACUUGGACCAGAGCAUGACGCCGCCGUACUUGGACGAUCCCCUGAUGAGCGGCAGCACGUUGGAGUUGAGAUCGUCGGCGGGCACGAACCCGGUGCCGGCGGCGUCCUUGGAGGCGGGCAGGCCUAGGAAGAUCUUCCCCGCCGGAACCGACUCCCACUGUUUCCACGCGUCCAGGAACGCGCCGCGGCCCGCGUUCACCUGGCACGGUGGGUUGUUGUAGAACUGCACCCACACGUAGUCGAACAGCCCCGUGUCGAUCGCGCCGUUGUCCCACUCGUCCGGGAACGGGCACUGCGGCGCCGCGCUCAGGAGCACCCCCUUGCCGCCCACCUUGUUCUUGCCCAUGUUCUUGAGGUCCCUGCACGGCGUGCGGCCGGGUGUGUAGAGGCGGUGAGCAAACGCCGAGUUAACCAACACACGACGAGAAGCAGGCUGCGAGAGUUUACCUGGCCAAGCUGUCCCAGUACUUGGAGCCGCCGAGCUCGAUGUCGAAGUCAAUGCCGUCAAGGACGGCGUCGCCGAGGGGGCGCGACGACGACGAGCCGCCCAGGUAAUUGUUCCAGAGGUAGGCGGCCACGUCCCGCGCGUCUCCCUGGGACGACAGGCCGUAGCUGCCGUCACCGCCGCCGAUCGAGAGCAGGACCUUGACGCCGCUGCUCUGGCACGAACGUAUGUCGUCACUCAACCCCGUGCAGCCGCCCGAUGAGGGGUCGCAGUGGCUGGCGAGGUCCAGCUCCGGCGUCUGGCCCUUGCCGAACUUGUAGACGAAGGCGAGGAUGACGAACUUGUAGUUCCCUGACGCACACGUGUCGGAAAGGGACGCCUCGCCGUCGUUCUGGCCCCAGUAGACGGCGAUGCCACCGGCAUGGCAUGUGGCGAGGAGAGCCGCCAAGAGGGUGGCCACGAGCAGGGAUGGAGCUUGAGCUCGGUUCGCCAUGGCUUGAUCUAGCGUGCUCGAUCAACUUAUUGGAUAGUAACUUUAGGAACUUGUUCUACGAGUAUUGAGUAGAGAGAUGGGGAUGGCGAAGUGUGCAUAUUCAUGUGUCCUUUUAUAACGUCUUGACAGUGUUAGCAUUAGCAAUAUGAACGCCGUGGAGAAAAGUUUAAGUAGGCUUCGUGCCGUGGUUCGUCUGCUGUUCUGUUUUAAUUUUUACCACGUACGAGUGGUUGCGGACUUGCGGUUCUGUGUGAAUUUAAUUUACCACGAGUGGUUGCGGUUAAGUAAAGUUGGAUUAUUUAUUUGUGGCCGGUAAUCCCGAUAUGCUGUUUUAUCAGGGAGUGUUUAUCUUCCCCUGAUGAUGAAUAAUGAAGGGAAACCAUCGAAGCUGAGUUCAAACGUGAGACUCGCCACCGUGCUCAACUCAACCGCAACGUCACAUGCGACAAAAUUUGCACCUUCCAGAUGCAUAGUACAUGAUUUGCAUUCUUUUGCUCAUGAUGUUAUUAUAUAUUUGUGGGCCAGGGUUUAAAAUCUUAUGAAAAAUUUGCCGAAAUUUUACAAACUUGAGUAAUUUUGGAGGUGGCUGACCCCUCUCCCCCCACCCCACCAGGGUUUAAACGCACUGAUUUUGUCUGUCUUCUUCUAACUACCGAACAAUUAAGAGUUUCUUUUAUGUGGACUUAUAUAUAUAUAUAUAACUCGUGCCCAUACGAGUUAGAAUAAUUUAUGACUAAACCAAUAUGGAGUAUGUAGGAGUCCUAAUAUAAAUAGAUUUCUCACAUCCUAAGUAUACUAAAUAGAACUCUUAAUAGUCAAAUAGAAAAGGAUAAGAAUUAUGUUCUUUAUUUUGCUCCGCUUUCUUUAUUUAGUUAGAUGUCAACUAGAUAUACCGUUCCUUCUUCUUCUUCUUCUCUAAUAAUAAUAACGAAAAAUUUCUGGUCGUUUUGGAUUUUGAUCGAGCCCAACUAUUCGCUUAUUUCGGUUUAAAAUUAGUUUAAACUUAUGUUAGGCUUCCGAGUUAGAUUCAGCCCGUAGCUUUCUUUUUGUCCCAUAAUCCAAUUGGACAAGGAGUCCUCGUGGCAUAAACAAAAAAUAAGCUAAAAAUAAUAGGAAACCGCCCGAACAAAAGGAGCAUUGUUUAAUUAAUCUUUAGACCGGUGGAUAUAUAAAGAUAUGAUGGACUGAAAUUUUUACAAUUAUAUAUUAGGGAAAGAUACAUGGCUAUGUAACGCUAUAGUCAUAUUUUCUAUUGUUUAUGUUGCAUGUUCUUUUGUUCAAAAUAUGUGGUCAUAAAUCAUGCUAAUAUUUUGUUCAAAUCUAUUUUUUAAUAAAAACAAUCAUAAUUCAUGUUUAAAUCUCUAAUUUUUUUUGGCAAAACUGAUGUUGAAUCUCACAAAUUUUAGUAUUUUUUGGUGUAGCCGAAAUAAUGUACUCCGUAUUACCGAUCACAGGAAGCAUGAAGCGGAAAGGAGCAAAUUUGUCGCAUGUGGCGUUGUGGUUUACUCCGUAGUUGAGUACGGAGUGUAUGACGUUUCAACUCAGGCACUCAGCUUCAAUGAUUUCCACCCUUCAUGUUUACCAUAGGAAGGCAAAGGGAUGUUUGAUUAGAGUUGUUAAUAAAGUUUAAUAAAUACUAUAAUAUUUUUAUUUUGUUUAGCAUCAAUUAAUGUCCAAUCAUAAAUUAAUUAUGCUUAAAUGAUUUGUAUCGCAAAUACUCUCUAGCUGUGUUUUUAGUUUCAAUGAUCUAUUUUUAGUAUAUAUUCAAAUCAAAUAUUUAAUAUGACAGAUAAUAAACUUUACCACACUCAACCAAACAGACCCUAAACUGCAUAUGUGAUUAUUACUGUACGUAAAUAAAUAAAACUUUACUUAACAGCAAUGACUUCAAGGUAAAUUCACACACAAGCGCAGAGGCUGAGGAACAACGGCACGAAACCUAGCUACUUAAUUAAAGUUCUCGCCAUGGCGUUCAUAUUGCUAACGCAAACCGCUAUAAAACGAGACAUGGAUAUCAGAAUUCAGAAUAUGCACCUUCACCAUCCCAUCUCUCUACUCAAUACUCAUAGAACAAGUGAACAACUACCUAAAGUUCCUAUCCAGUUGGGGGCGCACGAUCAAGCCAUGGCGAACCGAGCUCAAGCUCCAUCCCUGCUCGUGGCCACCCUCUUGGCGGCUCUCCUCGCCACAUGCCAUGCCGGUGGCAUCGCCGUCUACUGGGGCCAGAACGACGGCGAGGCGUCCCUAUCCGACACGUGUGCGUCAGGGAACUACAAGUUCGUCAUCCUCGCCUUCGUCUACAAGUUCGGCAAGGGCCAGACGCCGGAGCUGGACCUCGCUAGCCACUGCGACCCCUCAUCGGGCGGCUGCACGGGGCUGAGUGACGACAUACGUUCGUGCCAGAGCAGCGGCGUCAAGGUCCUGCUGUCGAUCGGCGGCGGUGACGGCAGCUACGGCCUGUCGUCCCAGGGAGACGCGCGGGACGUGGCCGCCUACCUCUGGAACAAUUACCUGGGCGGCUCGUCGUCGUCGCGCCCCCUCGGCGACGCCGUCCUUGACGGCAUUGACUUCGACAUCGAGCUCGGCGGCUCCAAGUACUGGGACAGCUUGGCCAGGUAAACUCUCGCAGCCUGCUUCUCGUCGUGUGUUGGUUAACUCGGCGUUUGCUCACCGCCUCUACACACCCGGCCGCACGCCGUGCAGGGACCUCAAGAACAUGGGCAAGAACAAGGUGGGCGGCAAGGGGGUGCUCCUGAGCGCGGCGCCGCAGUGCCCGUUCCCGGACGAGUGGGACAACGGCGCGAUCGACACGGGGCUGUUCGACUACGUGUGGGUGCAGUUCUACAACAACCCACCGUGCCAGGUGAGCGCUGGCCGCGGCGCGUUCCUGGCGGCGUGGAAGAGGUGGCAGUCGGUGCCGGCGGGGCAGAUCUUCCUAGGCCUGCCCGCCUCCAAGGACGCCGCCGGCACCGGGUUCGUGCCCGCCGACGAUCUCAACUCCAACGUGCUGCCGCUCAUCAGGGGAUCGUCCAAGUACGGCGGCGUCAUGCUCUGGUCCAAGUACUACGACGACCGCGCAGGCUACAGUGACGCCAUCAAGAGCCACGUGUGAUAAUUAGACAUAUGCAGGAUGAGCCUGUCUGUGCAUACACAUAUACUUGCUGUUAGCAGAUCUUUCAUCAUAUUUAUGCGAUUUAUUGUACUUUGUGUUGCUGGUAGUUCUUCGGAUUUUAUAGUUGGUCACAUGUACAAUGUAUCAGACAGCUGAUCGAAUAAAAAGGAGAGAUCUUUUGUAUGGGGAAAACACCGUUUUCUAGUUUCAGAAGAUAUAAUGACCGACCCCAGUGGCUAAUCUAGACUAGAUGAUUAUCGGGGUCUUUUCUAAAAAUAGAUGGGGUCACUAAAAACUUUUAGCAUUGUAUAUGCCCUAAUUUUCCAUUAGGCCUUGUUUAGUUCCGAAAAGAUUUCGGAUUUCGGUACUGUAGCACUUUCGUUUGUUUGUGACAAAUAUUAUUCAAUUAUAGACUAACUAGAAUCAAAAGAUUCAUCUCGUGAUUUCCAGCUAAACUGUGUAAUUAGUUUUUGCUUUCGUCUAUAUUUAAUGCUUCAUGCAUGUGACGUAAGAUUUGAUGUGACGGGGAAUCUUGAAAACUUUUUGCUUUUUGGGGUGAACUAAACAAGGCCUUAAAGUUGUCAAAAUCGGAUGACCCAAUGAGAAGUUGUAGGUCUGCCCCUGACCGACCCAAAAUUUCAAUGUUUGGGUAUAUUAUCCAUGUAAAAACCGAAUGAGCCUCUAAUUCAAUUAAGAAAGAAAUUAAAUUGAGCACUUGAGAUGUACCAGGCUUCCACCUUCUCCCUAAACAGCUCCAAGUAGACAAAACAGUAUGUCUUAGACGGCAAUCACCGUGACUGCAGGGGAACGAAGAAUGUUGCUGCACCUGACAUCAACCGAAAUAUAAUGUACUUUUCACGAAGCUGAAAGGAUCGGUAUAGAAAUGGAACAAGCCAAGGAGCACGGCUAGUUCGUUCGGCCGGCUGUCCACUCUUCCGUCCACGAGCGCCACCGUGAUAUAUAUGCCGGACCAGUUACUAUCUCUAGGCCCAUCCCGUGAGUCCGUGACGCUCACAUUGUUAAUGCUAUUGUGGUAUAACACUGGCAAACCGCUAUAAAAAGGUGACCGGACAUCAACCACACAUUCACACUUCACAAAUCACAAGCCAUUGCUAACCGAAGCUAGCUCAAAGCAAAUCCUUACUAGCACUAGCACACUGUCCUGGACGUACUAGGCUAGGCAUAGGCUUAAUUAGUCUCUAACUAGCUAGGUGGUUAACGUACCAUGGCAGGCCGACCUCUCACUCCCUUCCAACUCAUUGCCAUCCUCUUGCUGGCGCUUCUCGUUACGAGCCACGCCGGCGGAAUCGCCAUAUACUGGGGCCAGAACACGGGAGAAGCAACCCUGUCCGCGACGUGCGCGUCCCGCAAGUACCAGUUCGUCAUCCUCGCCUUCGUUUUCCAGUUCGGCCAGGGCCGGGCGCCGCAGCUGGACCUGUCCGGCCACUGCGACGCCUCGUCAGGCCGCUGCUCCGUCCUGAGCAAUGACAUCCGCUCGUGCCAGCGCCGUGGCGUCAAGGUCCUGCUCUCCAUCGGCGGCGGCGUUGGCAACUACGGCCUGUCGUCAGCCGCGGACGCGCGGCUGGUGGCCGCGUACCUCUGGAAUAGCUACCUCGGCGGCAAGUCGUCGUCACGUCCGCUCGGCGAUGCCGUCCUUGAUGGCAUCGACUUCGACAUCGAGCUCGGCAGCGCCAAGUUCUGGGACAAUCUCGCCAGGUUAUACACUUUCGUUGCAUGGUCGCUUCGGGUUCACAUAUAUGCUCAUGCUCUGAUCGGACACCACGCAACGCAGGGACCUCAAGGACAUGGGCAAGAGUGGCAACAAGGCGGUGCUGCUGAGCGCGGCGCCGCAGUGCCCGUUCCCGGACGAGUGGGACGACGGCGCGAUCAAGACGGGGCUGUUCGACUUCGUUUGGGUGCAGUUCUACAACAACCCGGAGUGCCAGUUCAGCUCGGGGCGCAAGGCCUUCCUGGACGCAUGGAAACAGUGGGAGUCGGUGCCGGCGGGGAAGCUCUACCUCGGACUGCCAGCCUCCAAGGACGCGGCAGGCACCGGGUUCGUGCCCGCGGCCCAGCUCACGUCGCAGGUGCUGCCGCUCAUCAAGGGCUCGCGCAAGUACGGCGGCGUCAUGCUCUGGUCCAAGUUCUACGACGACCGCACGGGAUACAGCUCCGCCAUCAAGAGCCACGUCUGAUAGACUGAUAGGAAAUUGCAAGCGUGCGUGUAAAGCGUCUGUGAGUGCGUGCGGACGCUGCAUGUGGAGUUGUGGUAGAUAGUUUUAUAUUUCAGCAUGUUCGUGUUCGAUCUUGUCUCGAUGUGAACCGUAGCUGGGAGACUGUUAUGCAGUAGUCUAGUAGAGCAAAAGAUCAGCUUUGCAAUUUUCAGUCGCCAUGACGCCAUCCUAGUAGGCCUUUUAUCAACAAAUAAAGUAAAGACCGCUCGUCACUUUUUCUGAUCUAUAGUUUGUGGCAAUACAACCUAUCCUCAAAUUGACAACAUAUAUAUAUUCCUUGGCUUGUUUUGUUUAGGGAUUUUCAUCAAAAUCCUAGUAUUCUAAUUCAAUGUUUCCUUGAAAAGAUUCAUUUCUUAUUUUGUGAGUGAAUAAUAAGUCGAUGUAAGUAUGAGCUUGUGAUAGUAAUAAUAAAAAAUACUACAUCAGUGUGUGCGGUGGAGCCUCUGCUAGUCUGCUAGAGUGGUAUCGGCACGUGAACCACCAUUUCCCAUUUUAUGUCGCCGCUGUGGCUGCGCCUAACAUCAAUAGAACUGUAUUUUUCAUCAAGUUGGAACUUCAAAUCAGAGUACUGCUAAAACUGAAAGGGGGCAAGGAGCAGGCCCAGUUGGUUCGGCCGGCUGUCUAUUCCUCUGUCCAGGGGGCACUACAAUCUUGAACCAUUCUCCUCGUGCUGGCCCAUCCCUUAAAGUUGGUUAAUCCUUUUGAUCGGCGACAGAUUUGGGUGGGAUUUUUUUGGCUUAUCAACCGAGUAGGACGAAGAUGCGUGACUUUCAUGACGUCGCCCUGCUCAUCAAACAGUUCAGAUGAGCUCGACCCCUUUGCUGUCUGAUUUGGCGCAGGACGGCAGGAAGAUGAUUAUUCUCGCUAUCCGAACAACCAUCCGAAUCACCUCCGUCACCGGCAGGCUGGCCGUGGUCCGUGGAAAUGGACAACGAUUCAGCAAACAGCGAGUAGCAGUGUAGCAACGAGGGCGACUUUGUUGUGAUUAGCAGCGCGUGCGGUUAAUGCGCAUGAUCGCGUCAACGGAAGAACGCACUGUCCAAAAUUCCAGCACCUUGCCCGCGCGCACUGAGCGUCUGUGAACUCUGAGCAGAGGCAAAGGCAAGCGUGCAAAUUUCGAAGAGUUGGGGAGAAAUGGUCGCCGCACUUGGACGGCCGAUGAGUGGAGGGCUGGCGGCCGCUGUUCCCUCGCAAAGGUCAGCGGUCAACCACUGCCGACGCACUAUCGUCGCCCCGUGCUAAGAUGCAAGCAACACUAUAAUAUUUGACAAUGCCCUGCUCUCGACGAUAAGUCCCAAAUCUCGACCACAAAUUGCGCCAACUCAAUCAUGCCAAGUCAACUCGCGGCGGCUACCUAACGAACGCUGAAUAAUUUCGUAGUUAGAACAGAACUGCGCUGCUGCUAGUUGCGCACCACAUUGCUCAACGCUCAACGGAUUGAUCGGCUAUAUAAAGACCAGGGAUCGACCUUGAAGCACAAUUCAUACUCACAAGUCCAUACCAAGAACUCGAGAAACAAGAUGGCUAGAAUAAGCAACAUCCCGUCGUCUCUGCCACUGCUAUUGGCCACGGCGUUUGCAUUGGCCGGGGUCACCGCCGGAGCGCGCACCGGCGGCAUCGCCAUCUACUGGGGCCAGAACGGCAACGAGGGGACGCUGGCGCAGACCUGCGCCACGGGCAACUACAAGUUCGUCAACGUGGCGUUCCUCCCCACGUUCGGCAAGGGCCAGACGCCGGUGCUGAACCUGGCCGGCCACUGCGACCCGGCGAGCAACGGGUGCACGGGCGUGGGCGCGGACAUCAUUGCGUGCCAGCGGAUGGGCAUCAAGGUCCUGCUCUCCAUCGGCGGCGGAGUCGGCAGCUACGGGCUCUCGUCCCGGGACGACGCGAGGACCGUCGCGGCGUACCUCUGGAACAACUACCUCGGCGGCCGGUCCAAGUCCAGGCCCCUCGGCGACGCCGUCCUCGACGGCAUCGACUUCGACAUCGAGAGCGGCGGGAGCAUGUACUGGGACGACCUGGCCAGGUUCCUCAAGUCCUACUCCCGGCACGGGCGGAAGGUGUACCUGGCCGCGGCGCCGCAGUGCCCGUUCCCGGACGCGUCGCUGGGCACGGCGCUCGGCACGGGGCUGUUCGACUACGUGUGGGUGCAGUUCUACAACAACCCGCCGUGCCAGUACAGCGCGAGCGCCGGCGUGGGCGGCCUGGCGAGCGCGUGGGCGCAGUGGACGCCCAUCAGGGCCGGCCGGGUGUUCCUCGGCCUCCCGGCCGCGCCACAGGCCGCGGGCAGCGGGUUCGUGCCGGCGAGCGACCUCGUGGCGCAGGUGCUGCCGGUGGUCAAGAACUCCACCAAGUACGGGGGAAUCAUGCUCUGGUCCAGGUACUACGACGGGCUCACGGGGUACAGCGACGCGGUCAAGUCCCAAGUGUGAGAGCAGGCAGGCCCUCGUGUCAUGUCGGGCGUGUCUGUAGGCAUUGUACUGACGUCGCUUAAAGAAGCGACCGGGGGGAAAAAAAUCAACUUGCAAAUAGUGCUUCUCUACUUGUCAUAAACCAAUUUUCACUUACUCUUUUCGGGUUAACACCCUUUUGAUGUUUCAAGCAAAAUUAAAAAUAAAGUAUAUUCAGAGAAGAGAUCGACCACACAUGGCUGCUCCCAGCUACGGCCCAAGCGUUGCACUGCACGUCUGCACCUCCGCGACACCUGUAGAACAUAUUCUGAUGCGAGCUUUCUACUCCCCUCCAGCACCUUCGCCCAUCACCGAUGGCAGUUUCCCAAGGCCAUGGCCCAAGCGUUGCUUCUGGUCCAGGCGCGCCGCUCAACAUCCAGCAUCGGCUUUUAAAUACCGUGCGUGCAGCAGUGCAGAGCUCGUGUAGUACUCAUCAGGUCGCGUUGGCACACUCUUGCGCUAGUUCGUCUGUUCAUCAGUAACACCUCGAGGAGCCAAAAACAGGUACGUGUUGAUCGAUCCUCCACACCCUUAUUCUGAUCCCUUCUCGUUGGUGUUCACUUUCCAAAAAAAAUUGUAAAACUUUUCAUAUUCCCUUCCUUGUGCCACUAUAUAUAGCAUUAAAUAUAGAUAAAAAAUAACUAAUUACACGGUUUGUAUGUAAUUUACAAGACGAAUCUUUUGAGUCUAAUUAUUUUAUUAUUGGAUAAUAUUCGUCAAAUACAAACGAAAGUGUUAUAGUAUCUAUUUUGCAAAAAAAUUUGGUACUAAACAAGACCAAUGUCCCUAUUUAAUUUUAUAAAAAGUUUAAGCCAAAAUAUUUUGGACAUAUUUACUUCCAAAAUGCAAAAUAGCAAAAUAUUUUACAUUUUGCCCAAAAUAUUUGGGAACUAAACAAGAAAUUCCGAUCUUGUUAUUUGCAGCCAACAAUCUCUAUUAUGGCGACAGCGGCAGCUGCAACUAUUAUGUACUGCGUUCCCGCCGCGAGCGCCAUCCGGUGCUGCCGGACUUUCUCCCCGCCGAUCAAGACCGAUGCCCCGCGCGUCGCUUCCCCCGCGCCGCGACCGGCGGCGAUCCUCGCGUGGGGCGCGGGCGCGGGCGCCGCACGGGUCGCGAGCAGGGGCCGGUUCAGGGCGUCGGCGGCCGUGCACAAGGUGAAGCUGGUCGGGCCCGACGGCUCGGAGAGCGAGCUGGAGGUGGCCGAGGACACCUACAUCCUCGACGCCGCGGAGGAGGCCGGGCUGGAGCUGCCCUUCUCGUGCCGCGCCGGGUCGUGCUCCUCGUGCGCGGGGAAGCUGGCGUCCGGCGAGGUGGACCAGUCGGACGGCUCGUUCCUGGACGACGCGCAGAUGGCAGAGGGGUACGUGCUCACCUGCGUCUCCUACCCCAGGGCGGACUGCGUCAUCUACACGCACAAGGAGGAGGAAGUACACUAGAGUGGAGCUACGGAGUAACGCAGCAUUUGUAGACAGUGGCUAUUCCAACCGUGGAUGUUCAGAGAGAUUAUGAAGUUCUACAGUUAAUCUGUGCGUUUCUUGAACGGUCUGUUUGUUUAACCCUCUCUACGUUGUCUAUCAUGUGGGAUUGGUAGCUCAGAGAUGGACGCCACAAAACAAAGUUCAGAAUUCCUUUUGUGUUUGUCUGAUUGAUACCCCCUGCAUAUAUUAGUAGAUAGAUGUGAUGCCCUGCAUAUAAUGGGCUUGGUUAAUUAAUGGUAAUAAGUAAGGGAUGGCGGCGGGGCGGUUUCGGGUCGGAUAUCCGCGGGUUUCGGUUUGGGGAUGAUGGGCUCCGAAACGUAUAUGGUUCGGUUUCAGGUUUGGUUUUCCACCCGUGGAUAUCCAAUGAUAUCCGAAAUAAGUGUUUAGAAUUAAUUUUCAUAUUUUAUAAUAUGGUAAUAAUAACUUGUUUACUUAGAUUAUGAAAUUUAUUUUAAGCUAACUCAUAAAAAUAUUUAUGUUUUGUUGCCUCUUGUUUAUACAUGUAAAUAUGUGUAUAUAUAUCAUGUAUAUAUUUACAUAAAGUCCUUAUUGCUAUUAUUAUGUUGACAUAGAAAGCGGAUUUCAGAUAUCCAUUCGGGUUUCGGUAUAUGUGGGUUUGGUUUUGGAGAGGGUCACCCGAAUCAAUUUUCGGUUUGGUUUCGGAUUUUAAUUUCGGGUUUCAGUUUCGGGCGCACAUAGACUUCACUAGAUCCGAACCCGCCCCGUUGCCAUCCUUAAUUAAGCAUGGUGGUGCAUGAACGUGCUGCGCGGGUACCGAACCAUAGGCGGAUCCACCACUAGGGCGAGCCAGGACGACCGUCCUAGGUUCUCUUACGGCUGAUCUGAAAUUCUAUGAAAAUUUUAGACAUUAGUACAAAAUAAAAAGAAGCUCCUAGAGUAUUCGACGGAGGUUAAAGACACCGACGUCUUGGACUAUCAUAUGUGGUUCAGCCAAUAUAGAAAACCACAACCCACAAAGCGCAAUAAGAAUACAAUCAACCUUUCUCACGUUUCUCGCUAUUCUCGACUUCUGACUUUCUGGUCGUCUCUCUCGCUAAUUCAUAAACUUGUGGAACCUAAGAACCUGCGCCGGGCUGCAGGUAUCUUCAUUUUUUAUGCCCUUUUCACAUAGUUAAUUAUUUAAAAUUUGAUUAAGGAUGAAUCAUUGAAUGAUUUGGUGAAGUCAAUUUAAAACUAUUUUAGUAUUAGUAUGUAUGGCUUCUCUUAAUUUAAGGAACAAACUUCUCUAAUUUUGAUGUGGAAAAUAUAUGCUGAAAACUUUAAUAUUAGUCACAUUAUUAUGUUGCCAAAACAACUUAUGAAAUUUGUUAGCUUAUAUUCCAUUGGUUUGCCAAAAUUUUAUAGUGUAAGUCUGUUCUAGGUCAUUUCUCGAGCUGGAUUCUCUACUGUACCGAACGAGCGGCCUGCUCAGCGGACUCCAGUGGAGAAGACGACUUGUGCGAAGACGAGCACCGUGGUCAGCUAGCACAAGGUAAUUAAGAACGUGAAGAAGACUUGUGCGAAGACGAGCACCGUGGUCAGCUAGCACAGGGUAAUUAAGAACGUGUAGCUAUAUAGCAAGGCAUUAGUGGUUGCCACGCGAAUUUUACAAAGCUGCCGCGGUCGGUCGUCUUCGUUUACUGCAGAGCGCGUGCAACACCCUAGCAGCUGCCGCCCCCUUGCUUGACACGGUGAAAAUAAUGGCGCUGAGAUAGAGUUUUAAUUAUCAGAUUGAAUUCAAAUGAGUUGAGCUGGACUGGAGAAUAUAUUUGGACAAGAAAUAAAAUAGAGCUCAACUGAGGAUUAGUCUCUGAAAUGAUUUUGAGAACAGUUUUUGAAUUCACAUGACUUUUUAUUUGAAUUUUUGGGAUGUUAUAGAGGGCAGCCAGGCAACGAAGGGAAGGGCCACAGCCGGGGAACGACCAGCGAGGAGGCGUCAUGACCGGCAGGGAUGAGGGGCUGGCAGGUCUGGCCUGCCGAUGCGACCAGCAUGAAGAGGGCCGACGGAUCUGGGCCUUGCCGGACUUGAGAAGGGGUCAGCGGUGGACGGUGGUGCAGAAGGGGCCGACGACAGUGGAGGCUAGGUCUGGUGGCGGGGAAGGCGUGCGGUGGUGGGGCAUGAAGCGAGCGCAGGUGUUCGCGUGUGGGAGAGAAAUCAUCGAACAGAUUUUUAGCUCCCUAUAGAAGUUUUAGCGCCCUAUAGAAGUAGACAGUGUGAGGGAGGAUUUAUUGGGCCAACAAAUUUAUAUAGUAGGUAGCAUGUUGAAGUGUAUUUUUUUUAGCUUCCACUAUCCGAAUGCAAGAUAUGUAGUAUGUUUAGUUAGUUAGAGUUGCUCUAAUGUUAGGCAGUGGCGGAGCUAGAGUAAAUCUGACAGGGUGCGUGUGCCUUUAUGUGUGCAGUAGUUUACAAUAUGUGGGUACAUAUGUGGUUAAAAUUUAGAUCUUAUCACUGUUUUUUAAAAAUUUUGUGGGUGCAGCCGCACCCACUGAGUACACUGUAGCUCCGCUCCUGAUGUUAGUCUAGCAUCCCCCGAAGACACACAGGUUGGAUCAAAGUGACUAGAAGGUGACUUAAAUUAGGGGUUAAUGUUUAGUCCUUCAGAUCCAAACAGACUCUUAGUGGAGACUAACUGUAAGUUUGUAACAAAGUUGAAAAUAAAUAUUCAUCUAUCAAUGCCAUAAAGCACAUCGGUUUUUGUUAUCUCAUAUACCCACCGUCAAACUUCACAUUGCGGAGCUCUACCUAACCCACAUGAGUUGGCCCUGUUUAAAUUGGAGAUAAAAAUUUUUUGGAUGUCACAUCGGAUGUGUCGAAAGAAUGUCGGGAGAGGUUUUUAGAAACUAAUAAAAAAAUAAAUUACAUAACUCGUCUGAAAACAGCAAGGCAAAUCUGUUAAGCAUAAUUAAUCUGUCAUUAGCACAUGUGGGUUACUGUAGCACUUAAGGCUAAUUAUGGACUGACUAGGCUUAAAAGAUUCGUCUCGUGAUUUUCAACCAAACUAUGUAAUUAGUUUAUUUUUUUAUCUAUAUUUAAUGUUUCAUGUGUGUGUCUAAAGAUUCGAUGGUAUGGAUGAAAAUUUUUUGAUGAGAAACUAAACAGGGCCAUCAGUGUUGUCUGGGUAUCCUGCCCGGUUCAUCAUUUUUAAGAAGUGUUGUGGUCCAAAGUACUUUGUUGUACUAUACUAAUAAAAAACGAUUUAUCAAAUUACGAACAAAUCAAAAAAAAACUAUUUAUUUAUUGUGAGAUAAAAAUAUUAUAGAAAUGACUAAUAAACCGUAUUAAUAAGCUUAAGCGAACAGGGCUAAUAGUUCGUUCAUAAUUCUUGGCAUAUUUUGGUAUCGUCACACGACCCACAAAACUAUCAAACAACCCAAAGCCCUCGCACCAGAUCCUUGUACAAUUGUCGUCUGCACAGAUUCCUGCUGUCUGAACAUGAUUGUACAGCAGUUUUUUUAGCAUUUCCUUGAUGUCUUGGUUGGUUGAGGGAGUUAAACUUUAACUCUAAUCAAAUCAAAUAUUUAGAUACAUACAUAGAGUACUAAUUAUAAAUUAUUUACGAAACUAAGCUAAAAAAUAAUUUAUGAAACGAAUCUUUUGAGUCUAAUUAGUUCGUAAUUAGACUCUAAUUGUUAAAUAAAAUAAAAAUAAUACAUACAAUUCAUAUUAAACAAAAACACUAAUUAGUCCAACCAAACACGCGCUGAGAAGUUCAAUUUAUUCCAUCCUACUACUGACCCAUCCUACUACUGACGGCAAGAACGUUCAGUGUCAACUGUCAACCGUGUCUUCUUGAUUUGGGUCGUGUUGACUUGGAAGUUGGAACCGACGCCACAUACACACGGCGAGAGCCAACACAGCAACACACCACCUGCUCGCUGCUCGGCAUGCACGAAGAAGCUGCGAUCAUGCCGGCGUCGCCCUGCUGCCUCGCUGUCCGCCGCCGCGCUCCCUUCUUCGCCGUGCUAGUGCUACUGCAACAGCUGGCUCGCUUCCCACCGGCGGCGGCCGUGGCGCGCACCAACCUGACCGCGGGAGCUGCCCUGACGCCGCCCGACUACCUCACAAGUCCGUCGGGCGGGUUCGCGUUCGGCUUCCGCGCCCUCGACGCCGACCCGACCAGGUUCAUCCUCGCCACGUGGUUCCGCUUGGGCGACGGCGACCCCUCGCCCCCGCCGCCGCAGUCCGUGGUGUGGUUCGCGAAGAAGUCGACGGGCGCCACGCCCAACGGCACGGCGCAGUCCGUCCUCAGCAUCACCGCUGAAGGCCAGCUCGUGCUCACCGACGGCGCCAGCAACCAAGUGCUGUGGAAAGCCCCGACGACUACCGGCAUCAUGCAGGCCGCCGGCACCGUCCUCACGCUGACCGAUUCCGGCAACGCCCGGUUCCUCGGCGACGGGGGCGCCGCGCUCUGGGAGAGCUUCUGGUACCCGACGGACACCCUCCUGCCGGGCCAGAUGAUGGUCCCGAGCUCCCAGUACGAUAUGACGUCGGCGAUGCUCUUCUCAAAGCGCGCGGACGCGGAGUUCGCCACCGGCCGGUUCAGCCUGGCGGCGCAGAGUGAUGGCAACGUCGUCCUCUGCAUCGACCUCUACACCGGCGACAUCCGGCAGAACGCCUACUGGGCCACGGGCACCAACGGCCCCGACCCCAACACAACCAUCACCUUCGACGACCAGGGCGGCCUCAACUACACGCUCAGCGACGGCUCCACCCACACCCUGAUUUCGCCGGCGUCGAGCUCCGCCGCCGGCAGCAGUCGCUGCCUCCAGUUCGUCAGGAUGGACCCCGACGGCGUCGUCCGUGCCUACGCCCGCCCUAAAAGCGGCGGCGCGAGCGCGUCCUGGGCCGUGACGGGCGUCCUCCCCGGCGACGGCGGCUGCAACAAGAGGACGUCGGGGAUGCAACACAUGUGCGGCACGGGGUCUUACUGCGUAGAGACCAAAGAACGGCUCAGCUGUCUCUGCCCGGCUGGGUACACUUACAUCGACCCGCAGCAUCAUGACAGCGGCUGCACGCCGGAGUUCGAGCCGCAGAUCUGCGGCGGGGGGGACUCUGGGGACAACGGCUCCGACCAGUUCUCGAUCGUGGAGCUGCCGAACACCACCUGGGACAUGGACAUGUACAAGAAGAUCCCGUCGGUAACGGAGGAGCAGUGCCGGGCGUACUGCCUUGGCGACUGCUUCUGCACGGCGGCGCUGAUGGUCGACGGAUCCGUCUGCGUGGAGUUGGGGGCGCUCUCGAACGGACUGCAAGCAAGCGCCGUCACAACGACGGCGCUGAUCAAGGUGCGGACGGGGAACACUCUGGCGGCGAGAACGUCAGCGAUAAGAAGGAGAGCUAUUCUGCGUCCCUACUACAUCGUCACCAUUUGCCUGGGCAUUGUCCUAGCGAUCACCAUCGUCGGCCUUGCGGCACAACAUUAUUACCUCACCAGGAAGAAGAAGAAGAACAGGAACAAAGAGAGCCAGCAGCAGCAGGUGUUGAGCUCGAGCGUGAGAGCGUUCAGCUGGAAGGAGCUCCACCAAGCCACAAAUGGCUUCGACAGGCUGCUGGGCAAAGGGAACUUCGGCGAGGUCUACAAGGGAACUCUGAGAUGGCCGCAGCCACAAGCCAUCGCGGUGAAGAAGCUCGUGGAGUCGAACGAGUACAGCGAGCAGGAGUUCACCAACGAGGUGCAGUCCGUGGGGCAGAUCCACCACCGGAACCUGGUCCGCAUGAUCGGCUACUGCAAGGAAGGCAAGCACCGGAUGCUCGUCUUCGAGUUCAUGCCAGGCGGCUCGCUCCGACGCUUCCUGUUCGACCCCGAAAAACGGCUGCCGUGGCGGUGGCGCGCCGAGGCGGCGCUCGCCAUCGCACGGGGGCUCGAGUACCUCCACGACGGCUGCAGCGCCCCGAUCAUCCACUGCGACAUCAAGCCCGACAACAUCCUGCUGGACGGGCAUGGCUUGCCAAGGAUCACCGACUUCGGCAUCUCCAAGCUGCUGGGGACGCAGCAGGUGCACACCACGGUCACCAAUAUCAGGGGCACCAGAGGGUACAUCGCGCCGGAGUGGCUCCGCAGCGAGGCGCGUGUCGACACCAAGGCAGACGUGUACAGCUUCGGCGUGGUCCUGCUGGAGAUGAUCAGUUGCCGGAGGUGCCAGGACCCGGUGGAGGGAGCGGAUUCCGACGAUGAGACGGUCACGCUGUUCGGGUGGGCGGCGCAGCUGGUGGGCGCGCGGAGGGUCGAGCUCAUGCUGGUGGAUGGCGACACUGCCGAUGAUGUGGAGGAAACGGAAAGGGUGGAGCGGUUCGCGCGCGUGGCACUUUGGUGUAUCGAGCCCAACCCGGCGCUACGGCCCACCAUGCACCUGGUGGUGCACAUGUUGGAGACCACUGAACGCGUGGCUCAGGUUGAGGCGCUACCAGCGGACCCUCCCAGCUGUUACAUGGAAUCCUCACCUUUAAUAGUAAUUCCUCAGCUCAAGAUUGAAUGAGAUGAGAUGUUAAAAACCCCAGCAGUUUUCUGACUAUGACACGGAGUGUAGAAUUGCUUGGAUCAGUUCCCUCUCUUACCUCUGUAUCCCAUCUUAGCAAACUCGUGUAUUUCCGUUUCUCUAUAAAUGAAAAUGGGGUUUGAUCUCGUUUCGGAAAAAAUAGGAUGAGAUGUUUGGGGUCCGAUCUGAUUGAGCUAGUGUACGGCAUACGAAGCAAAGCUCUAUUCUGCAGCACUACUUCCAGUAUCUUUCUCUGGUAACAAAUCAGCAUAAGCCAAAAUUCAUGAAACGAACAAGUUGACUGUAUGGGCCUUAUAAGUUGAAAAUCGAUGGGAGUGCAGAAAGGGUCCGGCCCAACAGACUUGGGCCAUUACUAUAAUGCAGAUUCUUUGCUGCUACUUUGUUCUAUAACUGCGUUUUGCCCAUAAAACUACCCAGUUGUGUUAUAGCAUCUCCAAAAAGAAAAUGGAGAGAAAAAAAUGGAAGAAAGACUUGUUGUGAUGUACACAAUCCAUUUCAAGUUGUAAGUCGUUUGACUUUUUUAAUAUCAAGUUUGACCACUCGUCUUAUUCAAAGUUUUGUACAAAAUAUCAUUUUUUUUUGUUGUGUAUUAGUUUAUUAAUAAAAGUUCUUCAAGAAUGACUUAAAUUUGACUAUAUUUUUAUAAUUUUUUUAAUAAAACGAGUGGUCAAACUUAGAGUAAAAAAAGUAAAACGGCCUACAAUUAUUUGGGAUGGAGGGAGGAUGGAGGGAGUACGUACUACGUUGCUUUUGGGAUUCAGUUUCAGACUACAUAGAAUCUAUGCAGCAGAAAGACUUUGCUCUAUUCAGUUUCAACCGUCUUUUGGUAGGCUAAAUUGGCUAUGCUGGCACGCUAUAUACAAGAUAACCUCUACUGUAUGAUAACGACAUGCACAUGAUUGAUGACUCCGAAAUCAGAACAUCUGCUUUUCCCUGUCCCGAUCGGUGAUCAGACCUGCUGUUCCCGAUAAGAGUCUGAUUGCUUUCAACGUUCAAACACCAUGGGAUGGGAGACAGCCGACUUCUCGCAUCAAAACGAGUCAACAAAACAACGCCAUGUGAGAACCUCGCCAACCACGCCGGCGAAAGCUCUGCCGUCUGAAUCCGCCAUGUGCAUGCAUCCUUCUGAAAUCUGAACUGGCUGCUGCGCAUCGCGGUGACCUUCCCUCACGCGCGGCGGCAGAACAGCGAUGGUUCGAUCAGGCCGUCAGAUUUUACCCGUCGCGCGAGGGGUCACAUGUUUUCCAAGUAGAUUUGCUUAAAUUGCUUUGACUGGCUGACGUGCGGACAUCCACCGCUUGGUCAGCCUCUAGUCGUGUUGCAGCGUGCGCCCAAGUCCCUUUCCGACGUGGCGACGAUAGACGUCCUCCUCACCGCAGACCGCACGUGUGUGGAUCUAGCCGAUACCAACGUUCACUUGCUUAGGCUUGUUUAGUUCACCCCGAAAUCUAAAAAGUUUUCAAAAUUUCAUGUAAUAUCGAAUCUUGCGGCACAUGCAUUAAACAUUAAAUAUAGACGAAAAUAAAAAUUAAUCACAGUUUGACUGUAAAUUGCGAGACGAAUCUUUUGACCCUAGUUAGUCUAUGAUUGGACAAUAUUUACCACAAACAAACGAAAAUGUUACAAUAGCGAAAUCCAAAAAAAUUUCACAUCUAAACAAGACUUUACUUUAUCUAGGGCGUAUACGGUAAAGUUUAACAGAUAUUAUAAUAUUUUUAUUUUAUUUAAUAAUUAAUGUCUAAUUAUAAACUAAUUAGGUUCAAAAUAUUUGUCUCAUAAAUUACAUAUAAAUCAUGUAAUUAAUUUUUUUAAAUCUGUAUUUAAUACUUUAUGUAUGUGUUCAAAAUAUUCGAUGUGAUAGAAGUUAACAUCUACUCAAUCCAUUCCAAAUUGUAAGUCGUUUGACUUUUUUUAAUAUCAAGUUUGACCACUCGUCUUAUUCAAAGUUUUGUACAAAAUAUCACUUUCUUUUGUUGUGUAUUGGUUUAUUAAUAAAAGUUCUUUAAGAAUGACUUAAAUUUGACUAUAUUUGCACAAAUUUUUUGAAUAAGACGAGUGGUCAAACUUGAGGUAAAAAAAAGUCAAACGACUUACAAUUUGAAAUGGAGGGAGUAUCUGUUGUAACCAAACGGGGCCUAAUUUGAUGCAUUGUUAAUAACUUUAAUGUAUCAUGAUAAUAUUUUCAAUCUUGUAUCUUAUCUUUGCUAGAAGUUAACAGUUAUCUACUUCACAGGUAUCCACAUCGGCUCAAGAAUACAACUACAACCACGAGCAAGCCCCCGACUAAACCUCGAACUGUACAUUUCGUAGCUUCACAAGUGGCCAUAGAAUGGUUACCUGACUCCCACAGCUAAGUUGGGAAAGGCACUACCAAGAGAAGGACCCUGUGUCACUCGAGGGAUUCUCAAAUGGACACACCUUGAGGGGACACAAAACAUAUUCGACGAGUUUCUUUAUGUCAGAAGGGUAAAAGUUUGCCGUACAAUAUAGUAAUCUAAACAUAACACAUAUACAUCACACGGUACCUCAGACGUGACACACACCCAAGACAUGGGCAUACCACUCGAACAUGGCAUAGGGCGUGAUAAGCCUCACAAGGUUGCACUACAAACCCCUCCAGUAUCUUUAAAAAAAGGUUGCACCCCUACACCACACUGAAACACAUGGACGAGUCUUACCUAUGACUGUGGAACAUUGUUUCCACAACCUGAUGACAAACUCAACACAGGCCAGAUGACGAACUCAACGCAUGGGGAGUGAACCCCACAACAUCUCCAUCUAGUACAAAUACAAUAGGACACAUCAAACGACAAUGCUGACAAUAGAGGAGCAUGCUCAAAUUAGCUGACGAGUACUAGGAACCAGACCCGUCUUAGAGGGGAGAGCAGACAGUGCGACGGCCGGGGGCCCAUGGCGCUAGGGGCCCAUAAAUAUACGCAUCUAUAGUACAUCUAUUUGGCCCAUAUUGUUUGCUCUGUUGAGUCUGCGCCGCUGCGGCCAUUCCGGCAUUCUCAAUUCCCGUAAGGCGUAAGCCGUAAUGCCGUGAUCGUUAUCCCAGCGGGCGGCCGCAAACGCAGUGGCGCUGCAGUCCCUCUCCGUCCCCUGAAGGCCUGACUCCCUGCCAUCCCUUCGGUAAGUGAUUUGAGUUCAUCAAUACUCAGUUAUAGGGCCUGGCGGUGUUUGUUUAAACUCAUCUGUCAACUCCAAUUUUCUAUUCGACCUUACAAUCCAAUCCGUACACACAUCAAGCGAUUCAAGCCAAUAGUUGAUCCAUUAAUUUAAUUAUUUAAUUCAUCAAGCCGCAUAGGAAUAGGUUGUAGGCUACAAAUAGUUUUUUUUCUAAAUUUACCAUGAUACACUAAUAGGGUUCUAAUUUUUAAAUUUUUAAUUCAAUUUUUUUUUUGAACUUGUUAGAUAUUGCCUAAAAAACAUUUGUCAGCAGGUUGAAGAUAAAUUCAUAGAAUCAGAAACGGGUGCUUACAUAUUUAAGUUCAUAGAAUCGUAAAAAGUUGUCGUAUUAAAACAUUAGAUUGCCAGACCGUUAGUAUUAUGUUUGCCCAAGGGCCCUAGAAAUUGUUGAGACGGCCCUGCUAGGAACCCCUCUAUUCUUGUGUUAUCCGCUUCCAUAGCAUUAUAAAGGGAGGCUAGGGUGGUAGGGUCUCUCUUUUCUCUCUGUGUGAAAACACAACGGUUUAACUCUUGGAUCCUCCGGUUUGUAGUCUCUAUCACGAACUUCGAGCACUUGAACUUAGGAACACGAAUGCCUCAUCCGAAAAUGGACGAAGGGCAUUUGUCUAAACCAAUAUAAAAGGCGAGUCCAUGAGUGCUAAGACAUCUGAACAAAUACGCCACAAACCGUAGAUAAAAAUGUUGAUAGUAUUGAUGUCAUAAUAAAAUAAAUAUUCGAGUCGGUUAGUUUUAUUGGUUGGACCAACAAAAUUAUAGUCGGAUUAAUCGUAGACACAUAAAGGCAUGCUACUUUUAUGUAGGUGUUUCUAUCUGUCAUUUUGUGUGUGUGUGUGUUGUGGUGGGGGGUAGAACUGAGAUUUGGACUUCCAUCAUGAUCAAAAAGUGGUAUAGCUUUUCCAGUGGUUGUCAACAUGACGCACCAUUCAUUGACAUCGUGGGGGUGGCAGAAGAAACAUCCGUGAACAACGAGGAAAGCAUGAUUAAGGUCUUGGUGAAAAAAUUUUAGGUAUUGUAAUACUUUUAUUUGUAUUUAGUAAUUAUUUACAGAUAAACUGUAUAAUUAAUUAUUAUUUUAUCUAUAUUUAAUGCUCUAGUGUCGUAAGAUUAGAUAUGAUGAAAAAUAUUGAAAAAAAAUUAGAUUUCAGGUGUAACUAAAUAAGGCCUAAGGUGUGAGCACUUUUGCAAUCUGAACUACUAUAGGCGGUCUAUAGCAUGCAUGACAGAGAUGUGAACAGACUGGGAAAUCAAAUGGAAUGAUCCAUAUCUUAUACUAAUCAAACGCAGGUUUAUCACGGAUUCACGGCAGGAGAACGAUUAUGUCUGGACGCGUAUGAAUGAUGCGCUGUGUGCUGUAACGUAGUAGCCAGCCACAACACGCACCUUCAAAAAUUUAUGUUAUCGUUGUGGUACGGUUGCGUAGUUACGUCUUUUGAUGCAGGUGGAGCUGGAAGUCUAAUGCAGUUUAUGAGCGUACGUUUGGACCCUUGUUUGGACAAGUCGGCAACGUUAGGUGAUGAUUGAUAUGAUUCGAGCGGGAAGGGAAGCAGAGUUAACACACCAUCCUGUGUGGUCCAUUUCCAUGCUACCAGACCAGACCUGCUGAAUUCGGUAGCCCUGCUAGUGGCAUCGUUUUGUUAUUGGUAAGACACACAGUGUCCCAGUUCUACUGGCUUCAAGAAUAUAUUCAGAACUAUACUUGCAUAUUGUAUGUUUUCAGUUCAAUCAUCUGUAGCGACAGCAACUACUCUGUACUGAGAGAGAGAGCAGCUCGAACUGAUCUCCUACGAGUACCAUGACACAUUGACACGCCAUGAUAGUACUUGUAUUACUCGUCGGUAUGGCUGGCACGUCCAGCUCCAUACGAUCUGUCCUCUUUGUUUACUUAUUAUUAAUUGGAAGAGAGAUCCGUUGGAGUUGAGAAGUGGGGACAUGAUUGCUGGAUACGAUGUAGCGGCGCGUUCUUGAGGUUCGUUACAAAGACGCGCUUCCGGUUAAAAUAAGCAAAGGGACGGCCGUUCACCACAGCCGGGUUUUCUUCAGAGUUCAGACUGCUCCAGAGAACAGCAGUCGUUCAUUCUCUGUCCCCAUGGAUAACUGGAAUUGGAAGAAGGUUUACUUCCUAGGAUUCCUCUUCUCGUGUCCCGCCAAGGCCCAGGGGAUAGGGAAACAGCACAACUCAAAUCAGUCACUUCAUCUCCUCGUCAGAUCAGACAAGGCUGUACGCUUGACUACAGCAUGCGGUGACGUGCGACUCCGAACUGAAGAACAGCCCACCGUGCACGAAAAAAAAAUAAUCUUAUCCAUGCCCUCAGGAAAUAGAAGGGAAAAACAUCUUCUUCUCCGGAUAAAGAAAAAUGAAUAUUAAUACAUAUCCCUUUUAUAGAAAAAAGAUAAAGAAAAAACAGAGCACCACUCCCUGGUUGCAGGCGUAGUCUUGCUUGCUGCGGCCUACUCAUCUAUCUAUGUGCUGCAUCUCCUACACUAACGUCUUUAUCCGUGGUGAAAACAUAGCACCAAUUCGUUUGGUCAUGCGACGACGACCUAUCUAUUCGUUGCAUCUCCUACACUAGUGUCCUUAUCUAUGGUGAAAACCUGGAUGCAGUAAACUUUCUUGAAGGCGUUGUGUUAGGAUAAGACUGUUGGUGUUUUAUGCGAUAGUGUGGUUGUCUCAAGGAUGACCUCUAGCCGCUGCCGGCGCUCGAUGUGGCGUCUUUCUCUCAUGGGCAACUUACUUCCUAGGAGGUACCAUUUCAAAUAAAUUUAAGCCAUUGGUAUUUUGGUUUUCUAGAAUUAAUUAAUUAGUUAAAAAAAAAGGAAAACCAUUCUCAAAUCCCUCCAAUCAUGCUAGACAUGGGUGGGCAUGGAGCUCCUUUCUUGUUCUUGCGCAUGGCUGCGCCUUUUCUUUUAUGUGAAUUGUCGUCAUGUCCCUUUUUCCCAUACAAAACUAAAUGACAACUAUCGCUAUAAUGUCAAGAUAUGUAUAAACCUAUUAUAUUAUAAGGUUAGAAUUGUACACCAAUAACAACAGGUACUAGAAAUAAAUUUUUAGUGGCUUUAUCAUGUAUAAAGUUUGAUGAUAAUUAUAUUAAAAUUAAAAACUGGUCGUUUUUAGCUAUCUUAAAGUUUCAUAUAUCUACCUAGUGUUUCAUAAUACGUUCAGCACGUAUGUCACAUUCCUAAGUAACAAGUGCAUCAAAAAAGUAAUUAGUCUAUUCUAAUCAAACUAUGUUAUAUCCAGAGUUGCUAAACUAAAAAGAUUCAUCAUAUCUAAUAGAUCAUGCAUGCAUCAAUUAAAUAUAAAAAGGAUCUUUACAUCUAAAACUUUACUUAUUUCAACUAUUACCUCCUACAAAGUAAUACAUGAUUCUAACUCUUCGAUUUAAUCAAAUGAACGGUUCACAUUCAUUUAAGAGUACCACAGUAAAACCUUCUUUCAUUUCUAUAGCCGCUAGUUGGGCAGAAGGUCCAAGUGUUCUUGACGCUGGAUGGAGGGGACAUCUCAUGUUAAAAGAGUUAUGGUGUUUUGUGAAGCUCUUCGUCGUUGAGCGUCUGAGUUGGAGCAAGACGCAUGUUGUCUUCAUUAGGCUAACUCCAACAGAGUUGGCAAACCAGGACGCAUACCCAAAAUGCAUCGUCUUACGGUGUUUUUAGACAAAAAAACGUCUCCAACAAAGGACGCAAAGGGAGUACUCAUUUUGCAUAGCCAACGAUGCUGAACGCAAAAAAGUGUCUCCUCUCUCCUGUAGACGCAUAUCUCUGGCCUCUCUAUCUCCUUCAACCGUUCGUGGACGAGGUCGGAGUGGAGGGAGAAGAGGAGUGGGUCGAGCUCGGCCGACCGCAGUGGGAGCGCGCGGAUGAAGAUGGCGUGGCGGGACCGCGACUCAGGCGGGGCUCUGGUGGGGCGGCUCGGGCGGCGUGCGACCGGCGGGGCACGACCAGGCUCUGGCCGAGCACGACUUCGGCGGGGCGCGGCUCCGGCGAGGCGCCACUUCGGCAGGGCACGGCUCCGGCGGGGGGCGCGGCUAAGCAGGCCCACAGACGGGGGCGCGACUCAGGCAAGACGUGGCUCCGGCAGGGCGGCUCCCUCCUGCGGAUGGAGUCGCCGGCGACCUCGGCUCGGUGCUCGGCGCUUCGACGGGGAGGAAGGCGGUGGGCGGUGGAGCGUCGUUGUGCUGUGUGUGCAGCUGGAUUUGGGGCUUGGUUCCAGGCUCUGUUGGAGAAGGACAAGAUUUAGGUGUGUACUUUUUACUGUGCGUAACCUAUAGAGCCGAAUGGGUCUCACGUUUAGGUUGUUUCUAUUGGAGACAGUCUUAGAUGAAUGUAGCCGUUUCAAGAUAUGUGAGGUGGAGAGUUGUUCCUAAGCAAAGUCAAAACUGGGUGAAAGCAAGGACGGAGAAGAAGUUUUGAAGCUUAAUCUUUCUAGUUUUUUUCUCCUUAUUAGUCCUUAAACACUUUCUACUCGGUAUUGAGAGUUUUCCUCAAACCGUCGUCGCCAAAUCUCACUCAGAGUCUCAGACUCGCACGAAGCUGCACAUGAAACAUAUUGUCGAGAGGCGCGACCAGCCUUGGACGCCGAACACGUACGCGGCGACUGUGACUAGUGGAAGCACGGAACGGUCAAUUGCGUUCAUCAAGCUCCAGCCGCCGGAAAAUCUCUCCGUUCCCCGGCCAUUCCGAGUGUGCAGCAGGCGGGCGAAAUCGCAGAUAGAAGCCACAACCAGAAGUGGUGGGCAGGCGCAGGAAGCGUAAAGGGAGCCUCGGCGACCGACGCGCGCACGUGCCGGUGAGAGGCGGUUGUGAGAUGUGACGCCGACGCGCCGGGCCGGCUGGCCGACCUGAGAUGAACAGAGAGGGAGAGAAAGAUAUUUUUUUUCCUCUUCCCCAUCCCUGCAUGUAAACGCAACGAUAUUUUACUGGAAAUUUGCCAACGGAGAUGGCGCCAUCGCUGGGAUGGAGGAGUAGCCGAAUAGGGUAUAAAACCGAGGGGGGCGUCACGGCCACGGGUCCCGAGGGGAGGAGGCUCUAUCCAACGUAACCACCACCAUCUCUGUAUCGGCGAGCAGCAGACACAGACAGAGGAGGAAGGAGGGGAGCCUGGGAGCAGCGAGGCGGAAAUGGGGCUCCGCGUCCGCGCCUCAUCGCUUCUGCUAUCCCUGGCUCUCGAGCUCGUGGUCGCGCUCGUCUCAGGUAAUUUUUCAGUCGCCGGCUUUGGUCGCUCCCUGCUUUGUUUGUAUUGUAUUGUAUCGCUGUGGCUCUUCUUGCUCGUGCUCUGCUUUUUUUUUUUUUUUUUGCCGCCAUUGCUGUUGCUGUGUGCUACAGUGUUCACGCCCGUCUGUCCUCGUGAGUUGUUACAUCUGUUCUUUCGGGUUCUGUUCUGGCACGAUGCUGCGUUCCAGUUCCAUUCUCCGUAUGACAAGCAUACGGAGUUCGUUUUCGUCGUCAACAGUAUUGGGAACGAUUAGAAUUUCAUGUGUGGGCAAAACUGGAACUGGAAGCAGCUGCGAAACAAGAACAUGGGAGGCCUGAGGAUGAGAUCCAGCUACCGGGCAAGGCGGACCAGAAUUGUCUUCGCAGAUACGAGGCCAUUCAUUCUUUUUUCGCGAUUAAUUGAGCUAGCUCGGUUGCUAAGUCAGCUCUGAGUCUCUGACGAGUGACGAGCAAGCACAGUUCCACUUCCUCCCAGCUGCAGCUGAUCCAUUGCACGAUUUCUUCCUGAAACCGCACACUCUCAGUAAUCCAUGUUCUCUAAAUCAUGAUAAUUGCACAGUACAGUUUUAUCCUUUUUUUUCUUUCUCACGUACACAAAAAAUUUGCGUAUCAUUGUAUUAACAUAGAAGAGUUUAACUACACGAACGACACACUUCUAUGGACAUCUCUAGUUGUUUAAAUUAAUUCUGGUCCAUACAACAGUUUUAUCUGAAAAUUCUGAUUUUACAUCUCUACUAGUUAUUUAAAUCUUAGCAUUUUGCCUCUCUCAUAGAUGAUUUCCAGCUCUGCCCCUACUAUGAUUGAUCAUUCCGUCUGCUUCCGUAUACAUUAUUGCUUGUAGGUCUGUAGUAGGUGCUCUCUUCUCUUGCCACCGAACAAUUUUUUUUUAUAUGGGGUUUAAUCACGAAAGCGACUUUGCACCUAAAGCAUUUUAUGGGUCUGUCUGAAAAGGAAAAUCAAUUCCGUUCAGGGAAAAUAAAUACUACAAAACAGCAUCAGCACUUUUAGUGCGCCAUUACCGAGUGCUAAUAAUUAAUGAGCGCCCCCGCGUGUGUUAAUCUGGCAGUGUCGGCGCAGCAAAAGUUCGGGAUCAACUACGGGCAGAUCGCGAACAACCUGCCGGAGCCGACGCAGGUGGCGAGUCUCCUCCAGUCGAUGAACGUGAACAAGGUGAAGCUCUACGACGCGGACCCGCGAGUGCUGACGGCGUUCGCCAACACCGGCGUCGAGUUCAUCAUCGCCGUGGGCAACGAGAACCUGCAGACCAUGGCGGCCAGCCCCGCCGCGGCGCGCCAGUGGGUGGCGACGAACGUGCAGCCGUACCUCCCGGCCACGCGCAUCACCUGCGUCACCGUCGGCAACGAGGUCUUCUCCAGCAACGACACGUCCAUGAUGGCCAGCCUCCUCCCCGCCAUGAAGGCCGUGUACGCCGCGCUGGGAGGUCUGGGCCUCGGCAGCCAGGUCACCGUGUCGUCGGCGCACUCCGUGAACGUGCUCGCCACCAGCUUCCCGCCGUCGUCGGGCGCGUUCCGGGAGGACCUCGCGGAGUACAUCAAGCCCAUCCUCGACUUCCACGGCCAGUCGGGGUCGCCGUUCCUCAUCAACGCGUACCCGUUCUUCGCCUACAAGGCGAGCCCCGGGAGCGUGUCGCUGCCGUACGUGCUGUUCGAGCCCAACCCGGGCGUGCGCGACCCCAACACGGGCCUCACCUACGACAACAUGCUCUACGCCCAGAUCGACGCCGUGUACGCCGCCAUGAAGGCCAUGGGGCACACGGACGUGGGCGUGAGGAUCUCGGAGACCGGGUGGCCGUCCAAGGGCGACGAGGACGAGACCGGCGCCACGGUGCAGAACGCGGCGGCGUACAAUGGCAACCUGAUGCAGAGGAUCGCCAUGAACCAGGGGACGCCGCUCAAGCCCAACGUGCCCGUCGACGUGUACGUGUUCGCGCUCUUCAACGAGGACAUGAAGCCAGGACCCGCGUCGGAGAGGAACUACGGGCUGUUCUACCCCAACGGCUCGCCGGUGUACGCGCUCAACUCCGCCGGCUCCGGCGGCGGUUCGAGUCCCGGCGGGUCGCUCAACCCGUACUACACGUCCAUGUUCUCCUCCUCGUCCAGAUCGGCGGUGAGCGCAACCUUUUUGACAGAGAGAGUGAUACUAUUACUGCUGCUGCAAGCGAUUGUAAUACUGCGACAAUCAUAUUCAUUGUACUGUUAGUCAGUGAUACCUUGUAAUCUUGUAUACGGAAAUAUGCAAUUUCAAUUCAACCAUAGGGUAGGCCUAGAUUCGGCAAUUUGGCAAGACAGUGUGGCUGCUCCAAAAGCUCUGAUCUUUUCUCUUAUUCCCCCUCAGCAAUGAUCUUGAAAAGGUGACCUUUUCUUCUCUAUGCACAAACCUAUCGAGAUGUGGAAACACCUAAAGGUGAGGUUGAUCGAUGGAAGGGCAUCGUCGAAAGCGCGGGCAUUCCUGAGCUUUUGACCCAACGGACGACGAACCAAACAUUUAGCCGCGUCUUUCUAAGCUGGCCGGAUACCAGUUAACCAGUAGUUAACCUUUGGCGGCGGCAGCCUGAAACUGAAACUGAAACUGAAACGGGGAAUGUCAAAACCCAGCAGCAAGAGCAAACACAAUCAUCUCGCAAUAUGGUUUCUGGUAGUGACAACGAAGAUGAAGAUUUGCUUAUCUUUUGUGUUUGUUUGUCCUGGUGGCUUGCAAUCGCUUGCAGAUAACGUAUCGGAUGGGGGGUGGUUGUCCUGCUCGCCGCAUUAUUCCUCUGAUGAGGCUUCCUCCACACGUACCGCCCAGAGAGAAAGCCUCGCAAAUCAUUGGCAGCUUCCCUUCCCACUGACGCAAUCCGGUCCGAGUUGUCGUCGCCACUCAUCAGUGCCGGCCGGGGCCGGUGCGCGCGGUGCAUUGCCGGUCCAGCGGUCCUCACUGACAGCGAGAUAACGUCGAUCGGACUCGGACACAGUGACACUGAAAUCAUCUCAAUUUCCUUUUCCAUCUCCUGUUGCUGAUGCAGUUUAUAAUAGUCUAAAAAGAAGGCUUAAGAAAAAAAUAACAAAUCCCACAUGACGAUGAGAAAUUAAAUUUCCAACCCCAACAGUUCAAAAACAAACUGAUUCCUACGAAAUCCAUGUAGGAUUCCUACAAAAUUCUAACGUUCCAAAGGGCCCUAAGCGUGGCUCUCGGCUGAGCUCGUGUGGUUAGGUAACAGGUCCUGUCGUGCAAGCCGCGACACUUUGGCAAAUAGUUUCUGGUGAGCCAUGUGAUAUGAUGCAUGCGGCAGACGAGUGGCGCCCCCGUUCGUUGAGGCCCGUUCUACAGGGCAGUUCAGCUGUUGCAGGCUUGCAGUUGCAGCUGGUCCCCUGCCGUUCGUCGGUGAGGGCGCCGCGGCCCGAAGGGACGAGCAGAUCACCGAGAGCCGUCGAAACAUUUUUCGCGUCAUCCGCAGAGGACCCAUCGCGAUUCUCGCAUGCGGACGUUUCAGAUAGGGCUCAGUCUCGUCGCUAUCCGCACACAGGACGUUCGGUCAGCACGCUGCAGGCUGCUGCUGCUGCUAGCUAGCUGUUGACCACUCGUCGUUGCCUUGCCGCUGUGUUGUUUGGCAGCUUGAAUGGCCUGCCGUAGGAGUGCGGCGAUGACUGGAGUAGAGGAUGAAUGUCCUCUUGGCUCUUGAGAGCUCAAACCUAACGUAACAACUCAUCGAAACCGGAUGUUUCGUCGCGUUGAGGGGCGUGGCGCUGUUUGCACGAAAGAGGACGCACGAGUGGAUCGACGAAUAUCUCUGCGCCUUUUGUCUGGUACACCCUUAUUGGAAAGUUUUAUUCCCCAUGUAGCAUUGUGUGUGAUUGAGAUUUCAAGGGUAAGGGAUGGGGCUUUAUUCCCUUGGAUCACAAUGCUGGACCUACUAGCCUAACACUCUGUAUUCCUGUUCCAAUGUCCAUGUACUCAUGUAGCGGAACUAAGUUUAUAUAUAGUACGAAUCUAUUUGCCUAUUCGGUCACUCGUCAUCUAGAUGCAUGGUUCACAAGAUCUUAUGAAUUUAACCACACAGUGCUUAUGAAUCCUUGCUUAUGUUGUGCGUGUCCAAAGAACAGGCUCUUGCUCAUUGCGCUUUUCUUCUGUGAUGCAGGAUAAACAGUUUGGUGUUCUGUUAUGUGCCUGCAGUACCAUGGAGGAAGAGAGACGAGUAAUAGCUAGCCUGCUCAUGUAGGAGUACUUGAUUUUGCUAACGAUCAGCUAGUUGAGUCACUUUGAGGCCUGAAAGAACGAGAUGAGCUGUGAGAAGUGGCUGCCAUUGGUGGUUUAGAAGUGUCAAUCACACGGGCACUAUUGUAUUUAUUCAUUUGUAUUCUUUAUGUUGGUGUUAUUGUUUCUUUGUCUAAGUGUCUCUGCUUUUUGUCCAACUUUCUCCAUC
rnacentral:lncRNA from 1 species